UCCCUGGAGGACUAGUGGUUAGGCCACACUGCACUCACCACUGCAACUUGGGUUUGAUUCCCAGCCAGGGAA